rnacentral:rRNA from 1 species
AUUGAACGCUGGCGGCAGGCCUAACACAUGCAAGUCGAGCGGAUGAAGGGAGCUUGCUCCUGGAUUCAGCGGCGGACGGGUGAGUAAUGCCUAGGAAUCUGCCUGGUAGUGGGGGAUAACGUCCGGAAACGGGCGCUAAUACCGCAUACGUCCUGAGGGAGAAAGUGGGGGUUCUUCGGACCUCACGCUAUCAGAUGAGCCUAGGUCGGAUUAGCUAGUUGGUGGGGUAAAGGCCUACCAAGGCGACGAUCCGUACCUGGUCUGAGAGGAUGAGCAGUCACCAUGGAACUGAGACACGGCCCAGACGCCUACGGGAGGCAGCAGUGGGGAAUAUUGGACAAUGGGCGAAAGCCUGAUCCAGCAAUGCCGCGUGUGUGAAGAAGGUCUUCGGAUUGUAAAGCACUUUAAGUUGGGAGGAAGGGCAGUAAGUUAAUACCUUGCUGUUAUGACGUUACCAACAGAAUAAGCACCGGCUAACUUCGUG